rnacentral:rRNA from 2 species
AAAUUGAAGAGUUUGAUCAUGGCUCAGAUUGAACGCUGGCGGCAGGCCUAACACAUGCAAGUCGAACGGUAACAGGAAGCAGCUUGCUGCUUCGCUGACGAGUGGCGGACGGGUGAGUAAUGUCUGGGAAACUGCCUGAUGGAGGGGGAUAACUACUGGAAACGGUGGCUAAUACCGCAUAACGUCGCAAGACCAAAGAGGGGGACCUUCGGGCCUCUUGCCAUCAGAUGUGCCCAGAUGGGAUUAGCUUGUUGGUGAGGUAACGGCUCACCAAGGCGACGAUCCCUAGCUGGUCUGAGAGGAUGACCAGCCACACUGGAACUGAGACACGGUCCAGACUCCUACGGGAGGCAGCAGUGGGGAAUAUUGCACAAUGGGCGCAAGCCUGAUGCAGCCAUGCCGCGUGUAUGAAGAAGGCCUUCGGGUUGUAAAGUACUUUCAGCGGGGAGGAAGGUGUUGCGGUUAAUAACCGCAGCAAUUGACGUUACCCGCAGAAGAAGCACCGGCUAACUCCGUGCCAGCAGCCGCGGUAAUACGGAGGGUGCAAGCGUUAAUCGGAAUUACUGGGCGUAAAGCGCA